rnacentral:lncRNA from 1 species
GGGUGGGGUGGGAAUGGAGUGGGGAGAUCUGACUCUGCAGCCAUCCCUCACCACUCCUGCUUGGACAUCGCCAGGCUCAGCUAGAGAAGGCAGAAAAAGUUCCUCCAACUCCUUCCCCAGGCACCUAUGCAGGCUCCACACUCCUGCCUGAACAGCUAUGAUUUUAAAAGCCAUCGAGUCAUGAAGAGAAGUGUGCCAGUGUGUGCUGGACUCAGUUUCCCCUGUGCACCAUUUUCCCCAGUCAGCCCUGCACCUUCCAAGAACUAUGACCCGAAGGCACACCCUAGUCAGCUCAGGCCCCACAUUCCUGCAAAAAUAAGGCUCCAGGGCUCCCUCAUCGCAGCAUGGGUUCUGCAGGAAGCCCCAGUGCCAAGUGGCUUUCAAAACUAGCCUCAGCUAGCAACGUGGCGGCUAUUUCAGCGACCGACAAAAGCAGCUCCCCCAGCCUCCCUUGGUGUUUGUGGUCCCUUUUGUUCCAGCCAGGCACCAUGAGGAAAAUGCAGCAACCGUUUGGAAACAAAGGCUCGGGCAGGCUCUCUCCAGUCUGAAAAGCCCACUUUCACUUGAGUUUCAGGUUACUGAGAGGUUAAGAAUUGCCAAAAAAGACCUGUGCCUUCCCUCUGAUAUUCCCUGGGUUUAGUUCUUCUCUCCUCCUUCUGCCAAGAGACCACUGAGAAGUGCCUCCGAAGAGCUAAGGGCUGCCCCAGGUGGUUAUGUGGGAGCGUGAGUGCCAGACAGAGGCCUGUUCUGAUGUCCUGACAUGCUACAAUUAUGCAGAUUUACACAGCAAGCAUAAGACCUUCUCCGCAUGUAUGGCUUCCCCAUUCCCAAGCAGACCAUGAACUUCCUAAGGAAAGUGACCGAAUUCCGCACUUCUCAACCCUCGCGGAGGGGCAGGGAGAUGGAUGAAGAAAUAAAGAGAGGGUGAAAUCAUUCUGGGAAGUUUCCUUGAAAGGGGUGAGUCAUAAAGAGGGGGUUGGGUGCAGGUGAGGAGGAGGAAGAUUACAGACUGCAGGGAUGAGCAAAUACCAUUUCCCAGGAUUUCCUGAAGUUUUUCUCCCCUCCCAAAGCCCAAAUCUGCCUCUUUCUGGGGCCCAGCGAGGACCCUGGAAGACAGAGAUCCUAGAAAAAGCAGAGGGAAAAGAAGAGGAAGAGAACAUGGAGAAACCGCCAGGGAACAGAACUCUUGGUCCAGGAGGCGCAAACCACAAGUGCAAUUAGUCAAAAAAAAACCCUGAAAUUAAAAAAUGAUUCCAAGCUGAGGAGGGGAGUACAUAAGUUACUGCAGCCCCAAGACAUUUAUGAAUAAUACAAAUGCUGUGAGGUGCUGAGCCUGAGCACAGUUAAUUAAUAUGUACAGGAGCAGAGAUGCACUUGAAAAACAAUAGUGCUGUUUCCCCCUCGCCAGAAGUAAAAAUAUUUCCAGAAA